GGGGAUAUAGCUCAGAUGGGAGAGCGCUUGCAUGGCAUGCAAGAGGUCGGCGGUUCGAUCCCGCUUAUCUCCACCA
rnacentral:tRNA from 1 species